rnacentral:rRNA from 1 species
ACAUGCCUACAACAUAGCGUUAAUGCACUGGAUCCCAUUAGAACUCUGCAAUUAAGCGCACUUAGGAUAGAGUAGUAUUUGGAUGGGUGAUCACCCGGGAAUUCCUAGUGUUUUGCAUGCC